rnacentral:lncRNA from 1 species
CAAAAAUAUCAAAGAAAUGUAGGGGGCACCAAAAAUAAUGUACAAUAAUCAUAAAACAUCGGCAAUUAUAGUUCACUGUAAUAUAAAUGUCAAUGCUAUAUAAGUAUAGGUAAUCACACGGGAAGGAGUGCAAUUAAUGAUUAACACUACGAGUGAUGUUUGAAAAAUGUGCCAAAAUUGCACAAGCUGUUAAUAAUUAAUUGCACGACCUGCCCAUGUGAUUAUUUAUUUAUUUUAUGCAUGGCAUGAUGACAAAAUAGUUUUCUUUAAAAUUCAACUUCAUUUUGUCAAGAGUUUUUAAUUCUUUUUGUAAGCAAUUUGGCAUAAACAAACUUGGGAAAUGAUCAUAAACUCAUAAAGGCACAUAACUUAAACUAGGACAAAUGAUUCAAAC